GUCUAUAAUGCAGUCGAGCGAAUCUGAGGGAGCUUGCUCCCAAAGAUUAGCGGCGGACGGGUGAGUAACACGUGGGCAACCUGCCUGUAAGACUGGGAUAACUCCGGGAAACCGGGGCUAAUACCGGAUAAUAUCUAUUUAUACAUAUAAUUAGAUUGAAAGAUGGUUCUGCUAUCACUUACAGAUGGGCCCGCGGCGCAUUAGCUAGUUGGUGAGGUAACGGCUCACCAAGGCGACGAUGCGUAGCCGACCUGAGAGGGUGAUCGGCCACACUGGGACUGAGACACGGCCCAGACUCCUACGGGAGGCAGCAGUAGGGAAUCUUCCGCAAUGGACGAAAGUCUGACGGAGCAACGCCGCGUGAGUGAUGAAGGUUUUCGGAUCGUAAAACUCUGUUGUUAGGGAAGAACAAGUACCGGAGUAACUGCCGGUACCUUGACGGUACCUAACCAGAAAGCCACGGCUAACUACGUGCCAGCAGCCGCGGUAAUACGUAGGUGGCAAGCGUUGUCCGGAAUUAUUGGGCGUAAAGCGCGCGCAGGCGGUUCUUUAAGUCUGAUGUGAAAGCCCACGGCUCAACCGUGGAGGGUCAUUGGAAACUGGGGAACUUGAGUGCAGAAGAGGAAAGUGGAAUUCCAAGUGUAGCGGUGAAAUGCGUAGAGAUUUGGAGGAACACCAGUGGCGAAGGCGACUUUCUGGUCUGUAACUGACGCUGAGGCGCGAAAGCGUGGGGGAGCAAACAGGAUUAGAUACCCUGGUAGUCCACGCCGUAAACGAUGAGUGCUAAGUGUUAGAGGGUUUCCGCCCUUUAGUGCUGCAGCA
rnacentral:rRNA from 1 species